rnacentral:rRNA from 1 species
AGAGUUUGAUUAUGGCUCAGAUUGAACGCUAGCGGGAUGCCUUACACAUGCAAGUCGAACGGCAGCACGGACUUCGGUCUGGUGGCGAGUGGCGAACGGGUGAGUAAUGUAUCGGAACGUGCCUAGUAGCGGGGGAUAACUACGCGAAAGCGUAGCUAAUACCGCAUACGCCCUUCGGGGGAAAGCAGGGGAUCGUAAGACCUUGCACUAUUAGAGCGGCCGAUAUCGGAUUAGGUAGUUGGUGGGGUAAAGGCUUACCAAGCCUGCGAUCUGUAGCUGGUCUGAGAGGACGACCAGCCACACUGGGACUGAGACACGGCCCAGACUCCUACGGGAGGCAGCAGUGGGGAAUUUUGGACAAUGGGCGAAAGCCUGAUCCAGCAAUGCCGCGUGCAGGAUGAAGGCCCUCGGGUUGUAAACUGCUUUUGUACGGAACGAAAAGCCUGGGGCUAAUAUCCCCGGGUCAUGACGGUACCGUAAGAAUAAGCACCGGCUAACUACGUGCCAGCCGCCGCGGUAA